CACACAGUAAACGAUAAUCACUAGGUGUUGGGUUCGCAGCGAACUCGGUGCCGUAGCUAACGCGUUAAGUGAUUCGCCUGGGGAGUACGAUCGCAAGGUUGAAACUCAAAGGAAUUGACGGGGGCCCGCACAAGCGGUGGAGCAUGUGGUUUAAUUCGAUGCAACGCGAAGAACCGGACCCGGUCUUGACAUCCGUAGGAUCCUUCAGAGAGGAGGGAGUGCCUUUCGGGGAACUACGAGACAGGUGC
rnacentral:rRNA from 1 species